UCGGGCCUAACACCCGUAAACCGUUGACACUCGUAAUCAAAAGCAGUCAGCUUUAAACAUCAGCCAGUUAGGUGAUAAGUUUGUCAUUUCUCACCUGUACUCUUGGAGAGAAUUUGCCAAAAAGGCUUGACAGACUUUAAACUUCACAGAGCAUUUUUGCCCAUUUAUGAAUCUCGUUUUGAUCUACUAAAACUUCUGGGAGGGUGGGAGGAGAGACAGGGUAACAGCAGAUCUAUUAAAAUAUUUUUGCAGCAAUCAAUUAGGGUUUAUGGUGUGAAAAAAUAUAUAGGUCCUGAAAAGAAACUUCCACCACCCAUCAGAUCUGAUUCUUUCUUGUCUGUGACUGGCUACUUUGGGGGACUGAGGAGUAUCAGUGAUUAAUUGCCUAGCUGCCAGAGAAGUACAGGCAUGCAGUACAUCAUUAAAAGCCAGAGAUCAGAUAGGCUGAAUUAAAAUGGGAAAUUCUGAAUGAAUAUAUUGUUUCUACAUACAAUUAAAAGCAGAAGCCAGAAAUCAUUGGCUUUCAUAAAUUACGACAGUGGCAGCUCUCCAGUGAAAACAUAUUUAUAGUGGUUUUACAUUGCUCUCUACAGGCUAUGUGCAAAAGGGAGAGGCACAAAUUAAUAUGCACUAAGGUAGUAACAGAGAAACCUGUCUUUGAACUCUUCUUUCCUUUUAAUCAGCAUGAGUUCUGCUAAAUAGGAGAAAGAAUUAUGAGUAGGUGGAGAGCAUCUAGGUUACUGAGGGUAAAUCACUCUCAGGGGAGUAACUUUGCAGUUUGAGCAAUGGAAUCUGACCUUUACAUGACUUCAGUUGAACAGGUCUUCUCUGUUUUAACCCAGCAUGAGCAGCAAUUGCAAGGCAGGUACAGAGUACUUCAUUAUGUGCACGAACAGAAAUGCUUAAAUGGAUGAAGCAGCUAUUUACGUAUGAUAGGAGCUAAGUGGGACAUUAAAUUAAUGCCAAACAACAUCUUGGAUGCCAAAUUUUUGUCCCUUGAUGACGUCAGAUUGGAUGCAAUCCACUUUGAGGCAGAAAGAGAGACAAGUGAAUUGUUACCUGUCACAGCAUCCCCAUGUUCAUCUCUUAAUACUUGUGGGUGUGAUACAAACCACCUAAAAGAGAUUCACUGCCUCUUUUACUGCCCAGACUAGACUGUUUCCUGUGCUCCAUCAGUGCAGUUCUUCUGUGCAUUUUGGUUUGGUUUGCAAGACUUUAAUCAAGAAAAAAAAAUCUAAUGAGCAGCAAUUUGAAAUACAGCAUUUGGAAAGGUCAAAAUGGUCCAUUACAUCCUUAUUAUCCAAAAGAACAGAUGAGUUUAAUAUCCUGACAGCAUUUUCCUGUGAAAAAGAUAUUAAACAAGAACUGAAAAUGGCAUAAGGUUCCCUCUUCCUUUCCUUUGACAAAGACUGUAACAAGAUGAUGAAAUUGUACAGAAUAAAUUUCAUCCUACUUUAAUGUUCAGAUUGGGGAUCCUGGCUAGAUUUCAAAAAUCUAAGCUAAUCAAAGAGACAAAACAUUUGUUAUUUGUUUCAGGUGUAUCCACAUGAAGCAGAAGACUUUUACAAUACAUUUUCCUACUUACAUGACCCAGUUUGCAUCAAUAUUUUCUAGAUUUAAAAAUAGGAGGAAUUGGUAACAGAAGGUACACAAUGCAGCGGGUUUCAAAAAGUAGAGUGAUGAACUGCAACAGAUGAUGCACUGCAUCAAAAUGGCUUAAAAUGUAAAUUUUUCAGCUCCCAUUUGAAAGACUGCAGAACACAAACAAUAAAUUCCAACACAUGAUGCGCUGUAUGUAUUCUGCUUUGGUGAGUCCCUGACAGUGUGGAACUGUUUGAAGGCAAAGGAAUUUGCACUAUAUCCCACUGGUUGUUAACAAUUCAGUUAAUAUAUGGAACUGUCACAAUUUGUUGUCUUAAAUAUUGUUAAAUUGGCCCUCGUGUUAAAUCUUAUUAUUACAGCUGAAAAAAUACUGAGCUUAAAAAUCGAAACAUGGGUAUACAACACGCACUUUUAUAAUUAUGACAUGCACUUGUAUUCAUUCCACAUGAGAUAUGAGAAGUCUCUGUUACAUAAGAAUAUAACAAGUUAUAUAAUAAAGACAUCCAUGAUUAUGAAAAAACACAUGAUUUCAAAAGAUACAUAUCUUCUAGUAUUGCUGGCUGAAGUAGACGUACAUGGUUUAGAAUAAGAACUCAAAAGUAGCAAUCAUACGGAAACUCUUCUUUCCUCACCAUCUAGGGAAUACAUCUGAAAAAAUUAUCUCUGUGGUACUUUUCGUUCAAUACCUUGCUGAGAAGAUCCAUUCUGCUUUGGUCAAGACAGAGAAAAUGAACAUGCCCAAAAUACGUUUUCCAAGCCUUGAGUGAAAAAAAAAGUUUUGUUUUUUUUUGUUUUGUUUUGUUUUUUUGUUUUUUGUUUUCUUUUCCUUAGGUAGUCUUAUUUUCCACUAGAAACUGUAGAUAUAUCCUUCGUUUUGCAGCUAAAAUGCAGGAUAGCUUUUUCAAUGCAUUGGCAAUGUGCGACCGAUUUUGAAACUUCAAAGAUUUUGCAAAACUACAGAAAAGAAGAUCCCUGAAGGGUAUUAAUUUCCAUAGGCAUUUAUGAAAUUAUGUUUUCCAUGUGUCUAAAAUAAAUCCACUAGAUAAAAUUUAAAGUUUAUAGAGGGUUCCUUGUGAUGUAGCUAAUAGCUUCUGAAACUAAAAUGACGACAAAUAGCUCCUUUCUGCUUCCCAACCAGAAAUAUGAGCAGAGUAUGAAGCCUCCAGAAGAUAAUAAUCAAAACUAUUUUUCAGUGAAUUAUUGCUCACAGUUCACAUCCAUGGAUUUUUAUCAUGUGAAUUAGAAAGAAAUUGGACUAUAUAUAAUUCUGCUAUUAAGAAAUAAAAUAUAUGCUGUUGUUUCCUGAUCUUAAAAUUCACAGUUAUGGAAUGACUGAGUAGAGAGCCCAGGGUACUGAGGGGGUCUCAGCAUGUAAUGGCACAAACAACUCCAGCAAUUCUUAGAGUGAGUACCAAAUAUCUGUAGAAGACAGUGGCAUUUGUUACACUUUUUUUCAGUUUGCUCCUGAUUGUGCAAAAUGCUUUUACCGCGUCACACACUGUUUAACAUGGGAACUACCUUGAAUACAUUAGGCAGCUUUAUUUAGUUAUUUCAUGAAAUAGAUCUUUUCCAGUAGGUGAUCACAGUAAUUCUGUUCUAAAAAAUUACCAGAAUAAUCAAGUGUAUCUUGUGAACUAGUAUACCAGUUUGCAGCAAAAUUUUAAGAGGUACCUACUUCCUUCACUUAUCUUCAAUAAAUUAGAUGGUAGUUGGGCAUUGCCAUGAAAUCUUUCACUAAUGAAGGACGUAAAGAAUAAAAACUGAAUGUAAAACGUUGCAUCUGCAACCCCCCAAGUCACAUCUCAAAGCAAAGGAUAUUCCUUAAAUGAAAGGCUGAUCAAAAAUAAUAAUGCAGCUGAUGGAAGAUGUUUUGUAUUAAAGCAUUAUCCUAAGAGAGAAGUCAAAACACAACUGAUCACAUGCAGCACACACGUUCUCACACACAUGGCUUUGUACCAGGAGGAGCUGGUUUAUUGUAAUCCCAGUAAGAAAAGUACCAUGAAGUAUUGGUUAAAGUGCAAUUUACUGCAGCUAAUAGUGUAAAGAAAAUGAGUACAUUACACAUAGUCAUUUGUUCGUUCAGAUACUGGGAACCCUGUUAUGGGCCUCCUAGCAGGGCACAGCAUCCUGUUCAGGACUUUUCCACACAAAGGUUACCCAGUAUUCUAGUCUUUUGAGUGCUUCUAGGGCUUUUCUAAAAGGAAAUAAUUCUGCUUACCAUUUCUACUGUCAAACUAAAAAGAUGUGCAUGUGGGAAUUUGUCACUGUUAUUUCAGGUAAAGGCAAGGACAAGCAGGUGAUGCAAUUAACAGUACCAAGUGGCAGCUGCCCAUAGGCUGCUUUGUUAUCCAGUGAGCUCUGUCCUGCAGUGAGCGGAUGCACCACACACAGCACAGACUUGAAGGUUGUGCUCAGUGUGCAACACAGUGCAGAUCUGCACCUGCAGAGGGAAAUUGCUAUGUGGAUCACUAAUUCCUCCACUUACGAUGGUCUUCAGGUCAGGAUCUCUGCAUGUGUAUGCAUACAUAUCUGUUUUACAUCUAAUUCCUUUUGUGCUCCACAGUGAUGCAUUGUAUUCAAAUCUACCCACAUUCAAAAUCUGCACAUCUACUGCAAACACUCCUUUGUAUAUGUCUCUGUGUCCAUCGAGCUGGAAUUAUGCAGGAAAUCAAAUGGGCUUAUAAUUACACAAUUUGUGCCUCCAAAUGCUGUUAAAAGUUUAUGUAGGUAUAUUUUUAUGAGCAUGAUUGUUGUGCCUGCAGCUUAAAAUCUGGUUAUACUUGCAUUUGAGUUUGUUUUGUUUUGUCACACAGUGCUACUUGAUAUUAUAUGAAUAAAUCAUCCAUAAGCUAGAAAACACAUCAAAAUCAAAGGAACAAAGUCAGUUGCAUUAUUAAAGAGAGAUUAAAAUAAUUUGACAUGAAAGGCAUUUUAGAGACAAUACAGCCCAUCUGAUUUACUAAUGUGCACAGGAGCUAAUAUAUCAUUCAGCCUUGCUCCUACGUGACAGCUGUUCUGCAUCUGAUGGGAAAUGUGAUGGUGCUCACAGUCCAGUUCAUAGUGGACAGGUGUUGACAUCACAAAAAUCAUCAUCAGAACUGGCACUAAUUGGCACCUUUGUUGACAACCUCAGCAGAGAGGCCAGUGAUUGAAUCAGCAUGGAGGCUGCCUUGCAAGCUCUGCCGGUGAGGGAUACUGGGCUCAGCCUUUCCUCCACUGAGAUCAUCCUGAGUUUUGCACAUAUUUCAUAUCCUGAUGCUAUCUGCCUGUAAAUUCUGUGCACACACACACUGCCAUGGCAUACGCCUUGAAGUGAUGCCCCCAUACAGAGUGGGCACUGAAACCUGCCCACCGAAUUUGGCCAACAUAAGAGACCAGGGACUUAUGUUUGUGAGGAAACAAGACCAAAGCAGAUGGAACCAAAGAGCUGCAGUCACAUAUCAGCCACUCAGGGCUCCAGUCUCACCCAGGCUUUUUAUCAAUUUUAGUUCAUUUUAGAUGGAACUGUGGGUUGGUGGAUUUCUACUAGCCACUUUACUCCUCUGUGCCUCGGUUUAUUCUUUCAUAUGAGGGUCAUAAUGUUCGUCUCACUCACAGAUAUAGUUAGGUGUUGCUAAUUAAAGAAUGCCUUAAAUAAAUUUAACAGUUUUGAUGGAAGUCAAUAGACACAUUAAAACUCAGGCUUCAAAUUUAUAGGAACUCUGUUUUCUUUAUAAUUCAUUUGAGUUGUAGGCAAUUACUAUUGCAUGUACCCUUUUUGUAUUUAACUGUCUUUCCAUUCACGCUCUUGAAUAUUACUUUUAUUCUUCCUCUCAGCCUGGAUUGUUCAAAUUAGUGUUUAAAACUAAUUUUUCUUUGGCAUACAGAAUCCUAUAUUGUUUGUUUUAGCUCU